rnacentral:rRNA from 1 species
AAAGGAAUAGACGGGGGCCCGCACAAGCAGCGGAGCAUGUGGUUUAAUUCGAAGCAACGCGAAGAACCUUACCGGGGCUUGACAUCCCUUUGGAGCGUAUAGAGAUAUAUGCGACUUAUGUCGUAAGACAUAAGACAGGGGAGACAGGUGGUGCAUGGUUGUCGUCAGCUCGUGUCGUGAGAUGUUGGGUUAAGUCCCGCAACGAGCGCAACCCCUAUCUUUAGUUGCCAGCACGUUAUGGUGGGGACUCUAAAGAGACUGCCGGGGAUAACUCGGAGGAAGGUGGGGACGACGUCAAAUCAUCAUGCCCCUUAUGUCCCGGGCUACACACGUGCUACAAUGGCCGGUAACAGAGGGUAGCCAAGCGGUAACGCUGCGCCAAUCCCAUAAAACCGGUCCCAGUUCGGAUUGUGGGCUGCAACUCGCCCACAUGAAGUCGGAGUUGCUAGUAAUCGCGAAUCAGCAUGUCGCGGUGAAUGCGUUCCCGGGCCUUGUACACACCGCCCGU